rnacentral:rRNA from 1 species
UACGAAGGGGGCUAGCGUUGUUCGGAAUUACUGGGCGUAAAGCGCACGUAGGCGGAUUGUUAAGUUAGGGGUGAAAUCCCAGGGCUCAGCCCUGGAACUGCCUUUAAUACUGGCAAUCUCGAGUCCGAGAGAGGUGAGUGGAAUUCCGAGUGUAGAGGUGAAAUUCGUAGAUAUUCGGAGGAACACCAGUGGCGAAGGCGGCUCACUGGCUCGGUACUGACGCUGAGGUGCGAAAGCGUGGGGAGCAAAAGGG